UGGGGAAUAUUGCACAAUGGGCGCAAGCCUGAUGCAGCCAUGCCGCGUGUGUGAAGAAGGCCUUCGGGUUGUAAAGCACUUUCAGCGAGGAGGAAGGGUAGUGUGUUAAUAGCACAUUGCAUUGACGUUACUCGCAGAAGAAGCACCGGCUAACUCCGUGCCAGCAGCCGCGGUAAUACGGAGGGUGCAAGCGUUAAUCGGAAUUACUGGGCGUAAAGCGCACGCAGGCGGUUUGUUAAGUCAGAUGUGAAAUCCCCGCGCUUAACGUGGAAACUGCAUUUGAAACUGGCAAGCUAGAGUCUUGUAGAGGGGGGUAGAAUUCCAGGUGUAGCGGUGAAAUGCGUAGAGAUCUGGAGGAAUACCGGUGGCGAAGGCGGCCCCCUGGACAAAGACUGACGCUCAGGUGCGAAAGCGUGGGGAGCAAACA
rnacentral:rRNA from 1 species